rnacentral:lncRNA from 1 species
AUGGCAAAAAGAAACACAAAAAAACAACAACCAAUUUUAGAAAUUAUUCUAUUAAAAACUAAGGCCAAACAAUCUCAGAAAAAAAUUCUAGCACAUUCUUUUAAAGUACUGUUUUUUUUUAGUCUAAGACAUUUCAGGUCACUUCUGAUACUUAUCUUUUUAUGUAAGACUCUAUGAAUAUAAAGCUUUUGGAUUUUUAAAAACAGGGAAAAAAUAAUGUAAAAUUUUAUUUCUGUCCAGGAGGCUGGGUGCCAAGGAUCGGAUAUAAGCACAGGUACAUAUAAGCAGCAAGAUUACAGUCAACAGACUCUGAAAGUUGAAAAUGGCAGACUACAAAGAGAAAAAGAAAAAUUAACAUCACAGAAAAAAACUGCACAGGUAAAAAAUGUCAGACAAUUCCAUGUAAAGAAUCAUACUUUUUUUUUCUUUAAAAAGACAAACAGAAUGACAUGUCCAAGAACACUUUUUAAAAGCAAAAUCACAAGGUAUUUUUGAGAGCAUACUUUCCAUUCUUUGGGCUAAGGAAUUCCGAAGAUGCAACAAGAGUUAUAAAUUCAAGAACUUAAGACACUACCAAAAAUGUUAUGAAUCCAAAAUAGUUCACCGAAGCUGAAACAAUAAUUAAUACAGAUGUUCUAGGAUCCCAGACACCUACGCAAGACAUGGAGUAUUUAAGCUCUGUAAGUAAGCUGGCUAUAUGACCUCCAAUAAACACUGGCCUCUCUAAAUCUGUUUUGCAUCAGUAGAACUAGGUGGAGAAUGGGGAGACAGACUCAGUGUUGGCUCAAGUUUCUUUCAAUUCUGAAAUUCUUUUAGAAUAAGAAUGCUUUAUAUUCAGGCAAUCAUGUCCCUAAUACUCAUCUAUUAGGUUUUGGUGAAUGCAAAGCACUUGCUUGUUUACUGUUGAUUCUUUUAAAAAGUUACUAAAAUAAAACUUAACACAGGAAUAUAGGAAAUUAUUUUCCUUUCCUUUCCAGUCAAAGGAAAAUGGAAGUGGACUUAAUAUACUCAACAUUCAGCUCAAGUGUUAUCUUUUUCCAGGAAGUCCUCUUGAACUCAUUUGUCUCUUCCCUCCUACUUCAUAGAGAACUCUCUUUUCUCUCCACCCCCAAUUAUUAUACAUUUAUUAAAAUACUCAUCCCUGAAGAGUAGACAUUGUCUACCAACUCUGAAUCUCCAGCACCUAUGUGCCAGCCACACAGUGGCAGCCCAGUAAGAGAUGCUUGAGUAAAUAAAACAAAUUUUUAAAAGUGCAGAAAUACUACGGUAUAUAUAACAAUAACAUUUCCAUUAUAUACAGGUAGCUAAAAUAUAUCAGUGUCAUACAGUAGCCAGUAAUAUGCUUAUUUAGUAAACUUCCAAGUACUUCCUGAGGGGGAUCAAUAUGGUGGAAUAGGAGGACUCACAUCCCCCAAUAAAUACAUCAAAAACUUACCUCCCCCAACAAAUACAUCAGAAUACAUCUACAUGUGGAAAAAGACUAAUAGAAAAUCAACCGAAAAUGGGCGGAAGAUUUCCUAUACAACCAAAGCUGCAAGAAAGAUCUCCAUGUAACCAGGUAGGACAGGAAAAAGGAAAAAAAAGGGAUUAGGAUGGGACCUGAGCUUCUGGGAGGCAUCUGUAAAAGAGAAAAGGUGCACACAGGCAGACCCUUGUGCUAGGUAGCUAACCCCCUACCUGCUAGGACAAACAGAGGGACUAGAAAAGCCUAGGUUCUACCAGAAGAGCACGCACAUGCUGGCCUGCUAACAAUCAGGAUGGAGAGAGACUGGUAUGUGUGGCUGCACCUCACCACACUGCACUCCAAAGUGUGAAACGCUUGUAGCAGCUGAGGAGGCCUGGGGGAGGAAUCCAUGUGGCUGAAAGGAGCCAGCUCUGAGGGUCUGAGGUGUGGUCUGGGUCUAACCACAGAGCCCAAUAUCCCAUUGUUAGCACUCCUAAGGCCAGGGUGUUGGGGGACCUUGAGGGGUGGAGGGUCUAUGUGGACUUUGUUGGCACCUGGUGGAGGACAGAAAGGCAUGUUUCCAGUAGAGAGCCCCUGGGGAGGAGUACUCAGGGUUCCAGUUCUGCCCACCCUCCACCUCUACUUGGACUUAAGUCUGGGAUGGACAGAUCCUGAGAGGUUCCUGCUACAGAGGCAGCCAAGGUCCCAGGCAGCAGUACAACCAUUAUCAAAAACUGGACAAAGAUACUACAGAAAAGAAAAAAGAUACUAUAAAAGAAGAAAAUUCAUCUUUGAUGAAUAGAGGCAAAAAUACUCAACAAAAUAUUAGUAAGCUGAAUCCAUCAAUACAUUAAAAGGAUCAUACAUCAUGAUCAAGUGGGCUGUAUCCCAAAGAUGCAAAUAUUUUUCAAUAUCACGAAUGACUCAAUAUGAUACACCACAUUAACAAAGUGAGGAAUAAAAACCAUAUAGUCAUGUCAAUAGACAUAGAAAAGCAUUUGACAUAAUCCAACACCCAUUCAUGAUAAAAGCUCUCAUGAAAGUGGCUAUAGUGGGAACAUAUCUCAACAUAAUAAAAGCUACCUAUGACAAAUCCACAGCCAAUAUAAUACUCAAAGGUGAAAAACUGAAAGCCUUCCUGCUAAAUUGAGGAACAAUACAAGGAUGACCACUCCUACUUCUAUUCAACAUAUUAUUAGAAAUCUUAGCCACAACAAAGAAAAGAAAUAAGAGGUUUCCAAAUUGGAAGGGAAGAAGUAAAAACAUCACUGCUUGCAGAUGACAUGAUACUCUACAAAAACUCUACACAAACUAAAAUAAAUGAAUUCAGCAAGGUAGAAGGAUACAAGAUUAACAUACAUAAAAUCUUGCAUUUCUUUAUACUAACAAUGAGCUAUCACUAAGCAAAACAACAACACCCCCCCAAAAAAAACCUGUUUAAAAUUACAUAAAAAAAACCUUGAGGAGUAAAUUAUUCAAAAGGCCUAUACGAUGAAAAUUAUGAAACAAUGAUAAAGAGAAGACUCAAAUGGAAAUCUAUCCCAUGCUCUUGGAUUGGAAGAAUUAAUAUUGUUAAAAUAGUCAUACUACCCAAAGCAAUCUACAGAUUGAAUUUGAUCCCCAUCAAAUCACCUAUGACAUUUUUCAUAGAACUAGUAGAAAAAUUACAGAUUGUAAGGGAAUUAAAAUUUAGUAAGGUGGUUAGGUACAUAAUGAAGAUAUUUAAAUCAAUACCCUUCAUAAUUACAGUAUCAAUCAACUGAGAAUCAUAAUGGAUAAAAAGACUCCAUUUAUAACAGCAACUAGAACAAAAAACUAAAAUAUGUAGGAAUAAGCUUAAAAAUGCUGUAAAGUUAAUCUAUAAAUUUAAAGUGAACACCAAGUUGUUUCCUGAAAUUGAUAACUUAUUUUGGAGUUCAUAUGGAAAAAUAAAUAAGAAUAUUCAGGAGAAUCCUAAAAAAGGAACUAGCUCUUCCAGAAAUUGUCAUAAUCUUUAAACUUUUAUACAUUUUUUUUUUUUUGUCUUUUUUUUGUUGUUGUUGUUGUUGCUAUUUCUUGGGCCGCUCCUGCGGCAUAUGGAGGUUCCCGGGCUAGGGGUUGAAUCGGAGCUGUAGCCACCGGCCUACGCCAGAGCCACAGCAACG